AUGUGCCUCCCCGGUGUCCCUGAACUACAAUUCCCAUCACGCCUUGCCAUUCCGAACCACAGCCUGCCGAGGGCUGCAAUUAUUUCAGCCUCCCGGUCAAAAAUCUCCACACCGCCCGGCAGAAUCGGGAGCAGUGGGGACCGCGCACCGCGAGGGCGGCCUUCAGCCCCUUCCACAAGCAGGACCAAAACGCAACUGCCAGGGGCUUUCCCGCCUGCUGGCUCGUAUUGCUUUGACGACGCUCCGCGGACCGCCAGGCACAUAAGGAGAAGGGACAAAGGGGAGGGGGCGGGGAGAAAAGAGUCGCCCCUCCCUCCCGCCCGUCAUGCUCCGUUUCACCUUUUGCAGGGACGAACGAAGAAGGGUGAAGGGCAGGAUAUAAAUUCUUAAAUUAAAAAAAAAAAAUACCUAGAGGAGAACCCACUCUCCCAUCCCACCUGAGGACCGUCGGCUCAUCACUCCGGGCCAAAAGAUCUGCGUUGUUCCCCUUUGGAGGGGCCUCGUGUCUGCAGGGAGAAAAGGUGAAGGCAGCCCUGCGGGGGAAAGGAAGCAACCUCUCCGCCGGGCAUCCUCGGGCAGAAGGCCUCCCGGGGCUCCUGUUUGAAAUCGGGCGCCUGUGCAUCUCAUGGUCCGUUGCCUGGACGGGGCUUCCGUACCUUGGCUUACAGCCAUCUAGUUGCCCUCUCUGUCGGCGUUUCCUUUACUGAUUUGGCCAGAACUAUCUGUUUNCUUAUCUGAAGCACUUAUACACCCUUCUCACCAAAAAACCCUCAGAGUGGUUUAUGAGACAGAUUAAAAACAAGGGCAAAAAGCGCACCGACAGAAAAACCAGUGGUUAGAAACACGUUACAAAAUGGGUGGAUCCGGAAGGAGAGAGGCUAGAAGUGAAGGUGCCUCAUGGACAGCAGAAGCGAGGGCUUUCUGUAGAGGAUAAGGUGCUGCGACCAAGAAGGCCCUGAUGGCGUUCUGUAUUUUGUGGGACCCGCAGGAAGACCUCUCCAGAGAAAUUCCAGGGAUGUAAUGAGGGAGGUGUUCUUUAAGGCACCAUGGUCCCAAGUUUUUUAGGGCCUUAUAUUAUGAACAUAAAAACUUGAACCUGGCCCAAUAGUGAACAAGCUACCAGAGUGCUUCGGGAGCACCUCGCACAGGGAUCUUCUGUGGUGCGCACUUGGCACAGNGGGUGGGUUUCCAUCCACAAUCUUUCCUUGUCUUCUGAGGAGGCAGUGGGCAAAGCCUGCCUCCUUUUCUUAAAAAGGACUCCGGAGUAAAUUUGGGUAGACGAAUAACCGUGACCUACUGGGCAGCCAGGCAGCUGGGGAGGGNGUUGCCUGCCCCCUGGGGACUGAGGAGCGGUGACUGACUGGGUUUUUUUGCCCCCGNGUGCCAAGUG
rnacentral:lncRNA from 1 species